rnacentral:lncRNA from 1 species
CACAUUCUCAUAUUUUAAAUGGCUUGAUGAGGUAUCACCCCUAAGAAGUCUAUCAACGUUGAGUCUGAGAUUUGAGACAUCAAGUUUUUAUGGUGUUGGAAAGUUUAAUCUACUACAAAGUCUCCGAGAAUACGAAGAAAAUAGAGAUUUUCUCGCGACAUUGUUCAAAGAUGCCGAAGAGCAGAGGGAUUACUUGAAAGUAUUGUUACAAGACAUCCAAAUAGAGAGAGAUCAACUAAAAUAAAAGUUGAUUUUGACUUAAUAAAGGGAGAAUGGCCUAAAAAUGAUAUGUGGUGUAAUGCUAAUAUUUGUUGUUUGAAAAGGUGUAACAUGGAUAUAAUGGAAUUGAAUAAAUAAAAAUAUUUCUA